GCUGGGCAUGGUGGCGCAUGCCUGUAAUCCUAGCUACUCAGGAGGCUGAGGCAGGAGAAUUGCCUGAACCUAGGAGGCAGAGGUUGUGGUGAGCCGAGAUCGCACCACUGCACUCCAGCCUGGGUAACAAGAGUGAAACUCUAAAAAAAAGAAAGAAAGAAAAAUUAGAUAAUCUAGACUACAUAAAAAAAUUUUUUUUUUUUGGAGACAGGAGUCUUGUUCUGUUGCCCAGGCUGGAGUGCAGUGGCGCGAUCUCCACUCGCUGCAACUUCCACCUUCUGGGUUCAGGUGAUUCUCCUGCCUCAG
rnacentral:SRP_RNA from 13 species